rnacentral:rRNA from 1 species
CAGCAGCCACGGGAAUACGGAGGGGGCUAGCGUUGUUCGGAAUUACUGGGCGUAAAGCGCACGUAGGCGGCUUGGUAAGUUAGAGGUGAAAGCCUGGAGCUCAACUCCAGAAUUGCCUUUAAGACUGCCGAGCUAGCAGGUGAGAGAGGUAAGUGGAAUUCCGAGUGUAGAGGUGAAAUUCGUAGAUAUUCGGAAGAACACCAGUGGCGAAGGCGGCUUACUGGCUCAUACUGGACGCUGAGGUGCGAAAGCGUGGGGAGCAAACAGGAUUAGAUACCCCUGUAGUCCCUGUCUCUUAUAC